UAAAGUUGGUGGAGAGUGGCGCACGGGUGAGUAACGCGUGGGGAUUUGCCUUCUGGUACGGGAUAACGUUUGGAAACGAACGCUAAUACCGUAUGAUAUCUACGGAUUAAAGAUUUAUCGCCAGGAGAUGAACCCGCGUAGGAUUAGAUAGUUGGUGGGGUAAUGGCCUACCAAGUCGACGAUCUUUAGCUGGUCUGAGAGGACGAUCAGCCACACUGGAACUGAGACACGGUCCAGACUCCUACGGGAGGCAGCAGUGGGGAAUAUUGGACAAUGGGGGCAACCCUGAUCCAGCCAUGCCGCGUGAGUGAAGAAGGCCUUAGGGUUGUAAAGCUCUUUCGCUAGGGAAGAUAAUGACGGUACCUAGUAAAGAAGUCCCGGCUAACUCCGUGCCAGCAGCCGCGGUAAUACGGAGGGGACUAGCGUUGUUCGGAAUUACUGGGCGUAAAGAGUACGUAGGCGGCUAAUCAAGUUGGGUGUGAAAGCCCGGGGCUCAAU
rnacentral:rRNA from 1 species